UACGGGGGGAGCAAGCGUUGUUCGGAUUUACUGGGCGUAAAGGGCGCGUAGGCGGUCAGCACAAGUCAGUUGUGAAAUCUCCGGGCUUAACUCGGAAAGGUCAACUGAUACUGUGCGACUAGAGUGCAGAAGGGGCAACUGGAAUUCUCGGUGUAGCGGUGAAAUGCGUAGAUAUCUGGAGGAACACCGGUGGCGAAGGCGGCAUCCUGGACCGGUAUUGACGCUGAGGCGCGAAAGCUAGGGGAACAAACGGG
rnacentral:rRNA from 1 species